rnacentral:rRNA from 1 species
GUGAUAAGCUGCGAUAAGCUUCGGGGAGUUGCACGUAAACUUUGAUCCGAAGAUUUCCGAAUGAGGAAACUCACUUAGAGUAAUGUCUAAGUAUCAUUAAGUGAAUACAUAGCUUAAUGAGGGGAACUCAGGGAACUGAAACAUCUAAGUACCUGAAGGAAGAGAAAGAAAUUCGAUUCCGUAAGUAGCGGCGAGCGAACGCGGAUUAGCCCAAACCAAUAAAGUUUUCUUUAUUGGGGUUGCGGACAUAUCAUAACGAAGAGGUAUCGUAAUUGAAGAGGUUUGGAAAGACCCACCACAGAAGGUAAUAGUCCUGUAUGUUAAACGAGAAGACUUUAGAUAUGAUCCAGAGUACCACGGGACACGUGAAACCCUGUGGGAAGCAGGAGGGACCACCCUCCAAGGCUAAAUACUACCUAGUGACCGAUAGCGUAUAGUACCGUGAGGGAAAGGCGAAAAGAACCCCGGCGAGGGGAGUGAAAUAGAACCUGAAACCCUGCACUUACAAGCUGUGGAAGCACAUUUCUUGUGUGACCGCGUACUUUUUGUAGAACGGGCCAACGAGUUACGUUAAGUAGCAAGGUUAAGCACUUAAGGUGCGGAGCCGUAGCGAAAGCGAGUUUUAACUGAGCGUUCAGUUACUUGACGUAGACCCGAAACCGGGCGACCUACCCAUGAGCAGGAUGAAGCGAAAGUAAAAUUUCGUGGAGGUCCGAACCCACGAGCGUUGAAAAGCUCGGGGAUGACUUGUGGGUAGCGGUGAAAUUCCAAUCGAGCCCGGAGAUAGCUGGUUCUCCCCGAAAUAGCUUUAGGGCUAGCCUCAAGGUGAGAGAUACGG